UACGUAGGGCGCAAGCGUUGUCCGGAAUUAUUGGGCGUAAAGAGCUCGUAGGCGGCUUGUCACGUCGGGUGUGAAAGCCCGGGGCUUAACCCCGGGUCUGCAUUCGAUACGGGCUAGCUAGAGUGUGGUAGGGGAGAUCGGAAUUCCUGGUGUAGCGGUGAAAUGCGCAGAUAUCGGGAGGAACACCGAUGGCGAAGGCAGGUCUCUGGGCCACUACUGACGCUGAGAAGCGAAAGCAUGGGGAGCGAACAGG
rnacentral:rRNA from 1 species